rnacentral:rRNA from 1 species
AUGUUGCAUGAGCGGCACGCACCACCCUCCGCGUCCGACGACGAGGACGAUGCCCCAGGGCCCAACGACGAGGAGGGCACUCUGGUGACCAGCACCACCAACACCACCUUCCACGACGUCGACGAGGUGAUCGAGGUGCGCGAGGUCCACCCCCUGUCGCCGCCGCCGCAGCACCCGCCCUUCACGCCGCCCACGCGCACCGUCUCCGCCGCCUCCACCGCCUGGGACAGCGCCAGCAGCCACCGCUCCGUCACCUCCGAGGAGCAGUUCAUGACGAUGAGCCGCGAGUUCACGGCCAUGGUCGCCGCCGGCGCCGGCGCCGGCGCGGCCAACAACGCCAACAGUAACAACAGCAACAGCAACCACCCCGGCGGCCCCUACGACGGCGGCGCCGACCAGCUGACCAGCAUCGGCGAGGACGAGCUGGAGGAGCACAACCCGCUGGCCAUCGUGCCGGACAGCGGCCGCCCCUUCGCCACGCCGCCCAGCAGGAGCGGCGGCGGCAGCGGCAGGGCGGCGCGGCUCGACCUGGAGGUGGUUCCCGCCGCCGGCCCGCCGGUGGAGGCGAGCCAGGUGAAGAAGGAGGAGGUGGAGACCAAGGUGUCGGCGUGGCAGACGGCGGAGAUCGCCAAGAUCAACAACCGGUUCAAGAGGGAGGAGGUGGUCAUCAACGGCUGGGAGACGGAGCAGGUCGACAAGGCCUCCGCCUGGCUCAAGAAGAUUGAGAGGAAGCUGGACGAGCAGCGCGCCAAGGCGGUGGAGAAGACGCAGAACGACGUGGCCAAGGCGCGGCACAAGGCGGAGGAGAAGCGGGCGUCGGCGGAGGCCAAGCGGGGGCUCAAGCUGGCCAAGGUGCUGGAGCUGGCCAACUUCAUGAAGGCCGUCGGCAGGGUGCCCACCAAGCGCUCCUUCUUCUAG